rnacentral:rRNA from 1 species
UACGGAGGGGGCUAGCGUUGUUCGGAAUUACUGGGCGUAAAGCGCACGUAGGCGGCUUUGUAAGUUAGAGGUGAAAGCCCGGAGCUCAACUCCGGAAUUGCCUUUAAGACUGCAUCGCUCGAAUCAUGGAGAGGUGAGUGGAAUUCCGAGUGUAGAGGUGAAAUUCGUAGAUAUUCGGAAGAACACCAGUGGCGAAGGCGACUCACUGGACAUGUAUUGACGCUGAGGUGCGAAAGCGUGGGGGAGCAAACAGG